CGGCUACACAUGCAGUCGAGCGGAUGACGGGAGCUUGCUCCUUGAUUCAGCGGCGGACGGGUGAGUAAUGCCUAGGAAUCUGCCUGGUAGUGGGGGACAACGUUUCGAAAGGAACGCUAAUACCGCAUACGUCCUACGGGAGAAAGCAGGGGACCUUCGGGCCUUGCGCUAUCAGAUGAGCCUAGGUCGGAUUAGCUAGUUGGUGGGGUAAUGGCUCACUAAGGCGACGAUCCGUAACUGGUCUGAGAGGAUGAUCAGUCACACUGGAACUGAGACACGGUCCAGACUCCUACGGGAGGCAGCAGUGGGGAAUAUUGGACAAUGGGCGAAAGCCUGAUCCAGCCAUGCCGCGUGUGUGAAGAAGGUCUUCGGAUUGUAAAGCACUUUAAGUUGGGAGGAAGGGCAGUAAGUUAAUACCUUGCUGUUUUGACGUUACCGACAGAAUAAGCACCGGCUAACUCUGUGCCAG
rnacentral:rRNA from 1 species